rnacentral:tRNA from 1 species
GGGGAUUUAGCUCAGUGGUAGGGCGCUUGCCUAGCAAGCACAAGGCCCUGGGUUCAGUCCCCA